rnacentral:rRNA from 1 species
AACGAACGCUGGCGGCAGGCCUAACACAUGCAAGUCGAACGAAGCCUUCGGGCUUAGUGGCGGACGGGUGAGUAACGCGUGGGAACGUGCCCUUUGGUACGGAAUAGCCCUGGGAAACUGGGAGUAAUACCGUAUGUGCCCUUCGGGGGAAAGAUUUAUCGCCAAAGGAUCGGCCCGCGUUGGAUUAGGUAGUUGGUGAGGUAAUGGCUCACCAAGCCGACGAUCCAUAGCNGGUUUGACGAGGAUGAUCAGCCACACUGGGACUGAGACACGGCCCCAGACUCCUACGGGAGGCAGCAGUGGGGGAAUCUUAGACAAUGGGGGAAACCCUGAUCUAGCCAUGCCGCGUGAUCGAUGAAGGCCUUAGGGUUGUAAAGAUCUUUCAGAUGGGAAGAUAAUGACGGUACCAUCAGAAGAAGCCCCGGCUAACUCCGUG